rnacentral:rRNA from 1 species
CCGCACGGUAUGCNUCGUACGGCGAGUGAAGCGGCAAAAGCUCAAAUUUGAAAUCUAGCACCUUCGGUGUUUGAGUUGUAAUUUGAAGAUGGUAACCUUGGGUUUGGCUCUUGUCUAUGUUCCUUGGAACAGGACGUCAUAGAGGGUGAGAAUCCCGUCUGAUGAGAUGCCCAUUCCUAUGUAAGGUGCUAUCGAAGAGUCGAGUUGUUUGGGAAUGCAGCUCUAAGUGGGUGGUAAAUUCCAUCUAAAGCUAAAUAUUGGCGAGAGACCGAUAGCGAACAAGUACAGUGAUGGAAAGAUGAAAAGAACUUUGAAAAGAGAGUGAAAAAGUACGUGAAAUUGUUGAAAGGGAAGGGCAUUAGAUCAGACUUGGUGUUUUACGAUUAUCUUCUCUUCUUGAGUUGUGCACUCGUAUUUCACUGGGCCAGCAUCGAUUCGGAUGGCAAGAUAAUGGCAGUUGAAUGUGGCUUCACUUCGGUGGAGUGUUAUAGCUUCUGCUGAUAUUGCCUGUCUGGAUCGAGGGCUGCGUCUUUUGACUAGGAUGCUGGCGU